GUAGGUGGCAAGCGUUGUCCGGAUUUAUUGGGUUUAAAGGGUGCGUAGGCGGCCCUGUAAGUCAGUUGUGAAAUACGGCAGCUUAACUGUCGAGGUGCAAUUGAUACUGCAGGGCUUGAGUACUGAUGAGGUAGGCGGAAUGGACGGUGUAGCGGUGAAAUGCUUAGAGAUCGUCCAGAACACCGAUAGCGAAUGCAGCUUACUAAGGAGUAACUGACGCUGAGGCACGAAAGUGUGGGGAUCAAACAGGAUUAGAUACCCUGGUAGUCCACACUGUAAACGAUGAUUACUCGAUGUUGGCGAUACACAGCCAGCGUCUUAGCAAAAGCGAUAAGUAAUCCACCUGGGGAGUACGCCGGCAACGGUG
rnacentral:rRNA from 1 species